AGUGAACGCUGGCGGUAGGCCUAACACAUGCAAGUCGAACGGCAGCACAGUAAGAGCUUGCUCUUACGGGUGGCGAGUGGCGGACGGGUGGGGAAUACAUCGGAAUCUACUUUUUCGUGGGGGAUAACGUAGGGAAACUUACGCUAAUACCGCAUACGACCUACGGGUGAAAGCAGGGGAUCUUCGGACCUUGCGCGAUUGAAUGAGCCGAUGUCGGACUAGCUAGUUGGCGGGGUAAAGGCCCACCAAGGCGACGAUCCGUAGCUGGUCUGAGAGGAUGAUCAGCCACACUGGAACUGAGACACGGUCCAGACUCCUACGGGAGGCAGCAGUGGGGAAUAUUGGACAAUGGGCGCAAGCCUGAUCCAGCCAUACCGCGUGGGUGAAGAAGGCCUUCGGGUUGUAAAGCCCUUUUGUUGGGAAAGAAAAGCAGCAGGUUAAUACCCCGCUGUUCUGACGGUACCCAAAGAAUAAGCACCGGCUAACUUCGUG
rnacentral:rRNA from 1 species